rnacentral:lncRNA from 1 species
CACGGGGCACUGGCCUGGGCAGGUGGCGGGAACGUUGCUGGGGUGGGCAUCUGUGCUUUCGGCUGCCCUCUGGCCCAGGAAAUUCCUCCCAGGGGCCAGGCCAGAGAUGGGCCAGGCAGGGGGAGGGCAAGUGAGGGAACAUGAACCCCUGGCUGACCUGAGUCAGAAAGCUGCUGGCCCCUAAAUUCCAGAGAUUCAGCAACAAAGAGGCCUAGUAGGGAGAGGAGUUACUAGGUUUAGGGGUUUUUCCCAGAACACCCAGGACUCUGGCCAGGGGCUGGAAGGUGCUCCAGGCUCAAUGCUGGGCAAUACUCAUGGAUUAAUUGGUGCUGGCUGGGCCUGCCAGCCUAGUCGUGGCCCCAGGGUCCCCACUAAAGGGCUCCUUCUCCAGCGCCCACUCUGUUGGCAAGGUCUUCACUACCAUCACCUGCCUGGACUCCAUCCAAGCAUCAGGGUUGCUGCAGUCGCUCCUGAAGAGACCCGGCUCUGCUUGAAAGUUCUUCCCUCAGCGCCUGCUGGAGCCCUCCCUGCCGGAGUUGCCAGAAUCCACACGGAAUCCACAGAUCUGCCCUGAUGAUCAUGAAGGAAUGCGAAAGAGCCUGGUAAAACGAUAUGGACUUGUGCAAAUGCAAAGCAAUGGUGAAGUCAUCACGAACCGCACAGACUGGACAGAACUCCUAUCUGGCUGCAAUGGCUUGGGUUCAGUCAGCCCAGGGGCCAGAGAAUUGGCUACAAAGAGCUCUGGAGUGCCCCUCCCUCCAAAUAAAGUAUUCUAAGCGUGCACUGAUCAACAUGAAGUUCGCAUUAACUUGGGGCUCCAAGCUCAAUUGA